rnacentral:sRNA from 1 species
GUUGGGUGUGGUGGCGUGCGCCUGUAAUCCUAGCUACUGGGGAGACUGAGGCAGGAGAAUUGCUUGAACCCAGGAGGCAGAGGUUGUAGUGAGCCAAGAUCAUGCCAUUGCACUCCAGCCUGGGUGACAGAGCAAGACUUUGUCUCAA